UACGUAGGGUGCAAGCGUUAAUCGGAAUUACUGGGCGUAAAGCGUGCGCAGGCGGUUUUGUAAGUCUGUUGUGAAAUCCCCGGGCUCAACCUGGGAAUGGCAAUGGAGACUGCAAGGCUAGAGUUUGGCAGAGGGGGUAGAAUUCCACGUGUAGCAGUGAAAUGCGUAGAUAUGUGGAGGAACACCGAUGGCGGAAGGCAGCCCCCUGGGUCAAAAACUGACGCUCAUGCACGAAAGCGUGGGGAGCAAACAGG
rnacentral:rRNA from 1 species